rnacentral:piRNA from 1 species
UAAAAGAUGGACUGGAGCUUUUUCUUU